CUUACAUUAAGAUAACUGGAAUGCCAUAGUCCAAGUUCACAAUACACAGUAAGCACAACCCGUUUCAACACUUUUCUUGCGUCUUCCUCCUGUAUGGAGUUCCUAUAUUGAAGCCCUAUGUUUGCGCCAUUUUCAGUGCCAAACUCCGCAUCCAUAGUCCUUUCUAAUUGGUGUUUCAUUCCACAAUUAGUUUUGUAUCCUCACGACCGCCACCCUGGUGUUCGCAAAGGUACAGGACGUCACUUCCGGUUCCAGCGGCCAUCUUUACUCGGCAAAGUACAUUCCAUAGUCAUUUUAAGUCCUUUUAUCAGUUCACAGCAGCCCUAGCUCAACCUUCAUUCCUACUCUAAAAACAGUUGGCCAUAUUUAGGAGGUCCAUACUCCACAUCAAGAGCAACGAUAUAUAGCUUAAAAAUAAACAAAAUAAUCAGUAUAAG